rnacentral:rRNA from 1 species
CCUACGGGUGGCAGCAGUGGGGAAUAUUGGACAAUGGGCGAAAGCCUGAUCCAGCCAUGCCGCGUGUGUGAAGAAGGCCUUCGGGUUGUAAAGCACUUUCAGUGGGGAAGAAAGCCUUGGGGCUAAUACCCUCGAGGAAGGACAUCACCCACAGAAGAAGCACCGGCUAACUCCGUGCCAGCAGCCGCGGUAAUACGGAGGGUGCGAGCGUUAAUCGGAAUUACUGGGCGGAAAGCGCGCGUAGGCGGUCUGAUAAGCCGGUUGUGAAAGCCCCGGGCUCAACCUGGGAACGGCAUCCGGAACUGUCAGGCUAGAGUGCAGGAGAGGAAGGUAGAAUUCCCGGGGUAGCGGUGAAAUGCGUAGAGAUCGGGAGGAAUACCAGUGGCGAAGGCGGCCUUCUGGACUGACACUGACGCUGAGGUGCGAAAGCGUGGGUAGCAAACAGGAUUAGAUACCCUUGUAGUC